rnacentral:rRNA from 1 species
CCUACGGGGGCUGCAGUGGGGAAUAUUGGACAAUGGGCGAAAGCCUGAUCCAGCCAUGCCGCGUGUGUGAAGAAGGCCUUCGGGUUGUAAAGCACUUUCAGUGGGGAAGAAAGCCUUGGGGCGAAUACCCUCGAGGAAGGACAUCACCCACAGAAGAAGCACCGGCUAACUCCGUGCCAGCAGCCGCGGUAAUACGGAGGGUGCGAGCGUUAAUCGGAAUUACUGGGCGUAAAGCGCGCGUAGGCGGUCUGAUAAGCCGGUUGUGAAAGCCCCGGGCUCAACCUGGGAACGGCAUCCGGAACUGUCAGGCUAGAGUGCAGGAGAGGAAGGUAGAAUUCCCGGUGUAGCGGUGAAAUGCGUAGAGAUCGGGAGGAAUACCAGUGGCGAAGGCGGCCUUCUGGACUGACACUGACGCUGAGGUGCGAAAGCGUGGGUAGCAAACAGGAUUAGAUACCCUUGUAGUC